CGGGUGAGUAACGCGUGGGUAACCUGCCUUAUACUGGGGGAUAACAGCCAGAAAUGACUGCUAAUACCGCAUAAGCGCACAGAACCGCAUGGUCCGGUGUGAAAAACUCCGGUGGUAUAAGAUGGACCCGCGUUGGAUUAGCUAGUUGGCAGGGCAGCGGCCUACCAAGGCGACGAUCCAUAGCCGGCCUGAGAGGGUGAACGGCCACAUUGGGACUGAGACACGGCCCAG
rnacentral:rRNA from 1 species